GGUUGAUUAGACAUAUGAUUAUGCUGACUUGAACUUGGUCAGUCAGAUAUCAAAUCUACUAACUUAGAAGAGAUCUAAACUUAAAUAUUCUUACUAAAUAUUAAGUCUAGUGAUCUUUCACCAUUGUAAAGAUGUGGGUGCCUUCCUAACGUUGAUCAUUCUCGACUGGUCAUAGUUGUUCAGUUGCAUCGAAAAGGUACAACUAC
rnacentral:lncRNA from 1 species